UCUAUUAAUUUCACUUGAUCCGUUCAUCGAUGAACAGGGCCUUCUAAGAUUUGGGGGCCGCAUUUCAACAGCAAGGGUAGAUCAGAAGGAAAAGUACCCUCUAAUUGUUCCUGGCAAGCACCACAUUGGAUCCUUACUAGUAAGGCACUAUCACCAAAAAACCCAACAUCAAGGACGCUUCUUCACUGAAGGAGCUAUCCGCACAGCAGGCCUGUGGAUCAUUGGAGGCAAGAGGCUCAUAAAUAGUAUCAUAUACCACUGUGUCCUUUGUCGGAAACUUCGUGGCUACCUUCAGACUCAGAAAAUGUCUUGCCUUCCAUCAGACAGGUUGUGUACAGAUCCUCCAUUUACCAAUGUAGGCCUCGAUGUAUUUGGCCCAUGGCCGGUCUGUGCUCGUCGGACGAGGGGAGGUUUGGCACAUGACAAAAGGUGGGCAGUGAUUUUCACUUGUCUUAGUGUCAGGGCUGUCCAUAUUGAAGUAAUUGAGUCACUGAACACAUCUAGUUUCAUAAGUGCCCUCAGGUGCUUUGUUGCUCUGCGAGGUCCAAUGAAACAAAUUCGCUCAGAUUGUGGGACAAAUUUCAUUGGGGCAUGUAAAGAGCUUCAGAUCUCAUCGAACCUUGAGAACGAAACUGUUAAAAAAUAUCUAGCAGAAAACGGGUGCUCCUGGACAUUUAACCCACCUCAUGCUUCCCACAUGGGUGGUUCCUGGGAAGGGAUGAUAGGAAUAGCAAGGAGAAUACUAGACAGCAUGCUCCUUUAGUUGGGUCACACAAAACUAACUCAUGAAGUUCUCACUACCUUAAUGGCUGAAGUAUCUGCCAUCAUUAAUGCUAGACCACUGGUGCCAGUAUCCACUGAUCCUAGUUAACCAUUUCUCCUUACACCUUCCAUUCUCCUCACGCAGAAAGAGUGCACACCUGUCGCUCCUGCUGGUGAUUUUGGAACUAAUGACCUUUUCAACGUCAGUGGCGCCAGGUCCAACAUCUGUCAAAUACAUUUUGGGACAGAUGGAGGAAACAGUAUCUAUGCUCACUACAGACCUGUAGGAAGUGGCAACCCGAACAGCCCAACAUGGAGCCAGGCAGCAGUGUGCUCCUCAAAGAUAGCCAAGCUAAAAGAAAUGAAUGGCCGAUGGGGAUAGUUACUCAGGUGUUUCCAAGCAAAGAUGGAAAAGUCCGCAAGGUGGAAAUAAGGAUUCCUAAACAAGAUGGCACAAGGCUUUUUCUUAGACCUGUAACAGAGACUGUUUUACUCUUACCUCCUGAAUCUACAUAAGGUGAUGUGUUGGUUAAAGAGUCAUUUAGUGGUGGCGUUCAAUCACGCCAGACGGGGAGUGUUCUGUUACAGUUAUUGUUAAAUAAUAAUUAAAAUCUAAUUGUGUGUUAAUAGUUGUCUCCCCCUAAUGGACGUCUUGAUAAUCAUAUAUUGUAGUGUUACCAUGUGACUAAUCAGAUGACCAACAAGGAAGUUAGCAUUUUCCAUGAUGUGCAGUUUUGAACAUGUGCUAUAGUGAAUCGGCAACAAUCCGUAUUCCUCCAUGGCCUUUGGUAGCUUCGUCGGUAUGUUUAUUGUUCCUUAUUCAUGUAGCAUUAAUAACAUUUGAUUAUUUGUUGGAUUGGUAAUUUAUAUGUUUGUUUAUAUAUGUACCUUUUUUGCAUGGGAAAGAGAGCUGUAAUGUUCCUUUGCUUACUAUGAUAUACCUGGUAAAAUCGAUAUGGAGGGAUAUAGCAUUUGUAAGUGUUUACUUGUGUGAGUGUGUAUAUUGAAAGUGGAUUUUAUUAUUUAUUGUUUUCUUUCUUUAUCUCCUAGUUUUACCUAUCCUUAUUAAAGCUUGAAAAGAGGCAUAUCGUGUCUGUGAUUUGAUGAGGGUGGAGUUUAGCUUGCUGUCGAAAUAUACAGAGGACGUAUAUAGAGGACAGUACAGUGGGAGUGCAUGGUGGUGCAAAAGACAGGAUUGUGUGCCAGAUUCACUCAUUCUGGAGGACAUUUCUACUGCUACAGAGGAACCUGUACACCUACAGAGAGAGAGAGAGAGAGAGAGAGAGAAAUUUAUCAAUUAUUGGAAUUUAAGUUAAUUAUUAAAUUAAUAUUAUAAACAAGAUUUUAAAACUAUGUAAAUCCAAACAGGAAAAAAUUACACAAUGCCUCUCCCUAAUGCAGGAGUGAAAAUGUAUGUUGCCUAGAAUUUAGGAAAUAUUGUACCCUAUAUUUUGACACUGAAAAUAGUGUAUUUCUGGAUUGACUUGGAUUUUGAAGGGAGGAUGUGAGCAAGCAGGUGCUCUUGGGGGUGUGCAGAGGAGCACAGGGGAUUAAAAAAGAAAAGAAUAAAGUUGUAAAGAGCU